UAAGACAGAGGAGCCAAGCGUUGUCCGGAUUGACUGGGCGUAAAGCGCACGCAGGCGGUUGCGCGCGUGGGGUGUGAAAACUGGCGGCUUAACUGCCAGAGGCCAUCCCAUACGGCGCGACUUGAGCCAUGCAGAGGUCCACGGAAUUGCCGGUGUAGUGGUGAAAUGCGUAGAGAUCGGCAGGAACACCCAGGGGGAAACCAGUGGACUGGGCAUGCGCUGACGCUCAGGUGCGAAAGCGUGGGGAGCGAACCGGAUUAGAUACCCGGGUAGUCCACGCCGUAAACGAUGAAUACUCGGCAUCUGGAGGGCGAUUCUCGUCCUCCGGGUGCCCCAGCUAACGCGGUAAGUAUUCCGCCUGGGAACUACGAGCGCAAGCUUA
rnacentral:rRNA from 1 species